UACAGAGGGUGCAAGCGUUGUUCGGAAUUAUUGGGCGUAAAGCGCGUGUAGGCGGCUUUGCAAGUCGGGUGUGAAAUCCCUCAGCUUAACUGAGGAAGUGCGCCCGAAACUGCCGAGCUUGAGUACCGGAGAGGGUGGCGGAAUUCCCCAAGUAGAGGUGAAAAUUCGUAGAUAUGGGGAGGAACACCGGUGGCGAAGGCGGCCACCUGGACGGAUACUGACGCUGAGACGCGAAAGCGUGGGGAGCGAACAGG
rnacentral:rRNA from 1 species